rnacentral:rRNA from 1 species
CUGACCGUGCAAAGGUAGCGUAAUCACUUGUCCACUAAUUAUGGACUAGUAUGAAAGGCAAAAUGAGGGUUUAACUGUCUCUUAUAAUAAGUCAAUUAAACUGAUCUACCAGUAAAAAAGCUGGAAUAAACACACAAGACCAGAAGACCCUGUGAAGCUUAAACUAAACUAUUAAACCACAUAAUAACUACUUUCGGUUGGGGCGACCUUGGAAAAAAAAGAACUUCCAAACUAGUGACAUUAAUUCACCCCCAGGCCAACAAGCCACAUAUGACCCAGCACACCUGACAAUUGAACCAAGUUACUCCAGGGAUAACAGCGCCAUCUUCUUCAAGAGUCCAUAUCAAAAAGAAGGUUUACGACCUCGAUGUUGGAUCAGGACAUCCUAAUGGUGUA